rnacentral:tRNA from 1 species
GCCAGUAUAGUGGAUAUGACCCUUGGCUUUUAACCAUGUAGGCUCGGGUUCGAAUCCCGAAUAAGGCA